UAACGAAAUGCUUUCCUUGUAACCUGCCAGUCUAUGCUUUGUAUGCUCCGGAAGCCGCCCAAGCAUUUUGAGGCCCUUGCCAAGGAGCACUUCAUAAACGUGCUGAAAGUAUUGUCUCGGCUUGCAACGCAUACAUGGAAGGAGCCCCAGUAGGAUUUGCUCUUGAAUGCAGCAGAAAUGAACUUGAUGUUAACUUUAAAGGAAGUUCUACCGGGUUCAAAAUCAUGCUCGCCAAGCUUUUCCCAAAGCUUGUGGAUGCAUUUUCAAAUCACGGAGUCGAUUGCAGCCAAAUCCGGGAUAAAUGAAUGUACCCGUGAGACACUAGUAGGUAA